rnacentral:misc_RNA from 1 species
UGCAUGCAUUGUUGCUGUCUGCAACUCCCCAGUCCACAAUAAAGUACCAUAUAUGUAUAUAUAUAUAUAUACGGCUUCAAUUAGCUAACCGUCAUAAUUCUUGAGUUCAGGUUUCACAGCACACAGCCCACAAAGCAAUAAUAAAUAAUAAGGGUUUUUGGGUAUGAUCGUCAAAAUAAGCACUGUAAUAACCACGAAGCAGCCUUAAACAUGACAACAAAAUACAGAUAAAAGGAAGAAAUUUUAAAAAUAAAAACAAAAGAACUUGAUCAAAAAGAAGGCUAACAAACAAAGUAUGGUGAUUUAAAACUAUAUGUGUAUAUAAUCACAUAAAUAAUCAUAUAUAGAGAACAAGAAACAAGAGCACACGAUCAAAAAGCACAGCCCUUUCAACAAAAAGAAACAGGCAGAAGGAGACAGAUUAUUAUUUAAAGCUAGAGAAGGAGAACUUAC